GAUGAACGCUGGCGGCGUGCCUAAUACAUGCAAGUCGAGCGAAUGGAUUAAGAGCUUGCUCUUAUGAAGUUAGCGGCGGACGGGUGAGUAACACGUGGGUAACCUGCCCAUAAGACUGGGAUAACUCCGGGAAACCGGGGCUAAUAACGGAUAACAUUUUGAACCGCAUGGUUCGAAAUUGAAAGGCGGCUUCAGCUGUCACUUAUGGAUGGACCCGCGUCGCAAUAGCUAGUUGGUGAGGUAACGGCUCACCAAAGCAACGAUGCGUAGCCGACCUGAGAGGGUGAUCGGCCACACUGGGACUGAGACACGGCCCAGACUCCUACGGGAGGCAGCAGUAGGGAAUCUUCAGCAAUGGACGAAAGUCUGACGGAGCAACGCCGCGUGAGUGAUGAAGGCUUUCGGGUCGUAAAACUCUGUUGUUAGGGAAGAACAAGUGCUAGUUGAAUACGCUGGCACCUUGACGGUACCUAACCAGAAAGCCACGGCUAACUACGUGCCAGCAGCCGCCAGUAA
rnacentral:rRNA from 1 species